UACGAAGGGUGCAAGCGUUACUCGGAAUUACUGGGCGUAAAGGGUGCGUAGGUGGUUUUGAAAGUCAGAGGUGAAAUAGCGAAGCUUAACUUCGCUACUGUCCUUUGAAACUUCAAGACUUGAGGGGCAAAGAGGAAGCUGGAACAAACGGUGUAGUAGUGAAAUGCGUUGAUAUCGUUUGGAACACCAAUAGCGUAGGCAGGCUUCUGGGUGCCACCUGACACUGCUAGGACGAAAGCGUGGGGAGCGAAUGGG
rnacentral:rRNA from 1 species